CUUCUAUAAAAGCGCCUCGCGCCCGCUUCUCUGCCUCAUUCCUCGGACGACUUACUGAUUAACAACUUAAAACACUCAAAAAUACAGACGGCUCUUCAAAGAUGAAGGAUCACGAUGCUCAUCCUGACUUCUCGACAUCAGCAGAUGCUUGAUGGUAAGGAAUUCUGCUUUAAACCCUGAAUUUUUAGUUAUUUUUUUAUUUUGUUUCCCUAAAUGGACGUCGGUGAUGAUUUAAAGUGUAAGAGUAGUGGACAGAAGUGAUUUCUGAGCAUUUUCUACACUGAGACUUCCAUAUAUAGUUUUUCCUUUGAGUUUCUUGCUUUUCCCAUUCAUUGUAAUAGUCCUAACAAGAGUGUUUCUACAGGUGCUGUGAAAGCCCAGAGAUGUGACUGGUCUGUAGGGGACUGAGGAGGUGAGGAUGAGUGUUUGCAGAGGAAACUUGUGCUUCUCUAAGGUGUUCGCUGUGGAGAGACUACACUUGCUCUUAAAUCAAACUAUAAUGAUAAAAUUCCUAAAGCUGAAAUUGAAGGUGCCUUUUUAAUUGCUUGGGUGCGGGGCCAUAUUUACAAAUAUUUCAAACCUAAGUAUUAAUAACCCCAGUGUGCCUUUGCAUGGAUAAACUAAUAUUUGCAUGUAAAACUAAUGGGGAUAUUACUGCUUUCAUUUGACUGGCAAAGUGUGAUUUGUACACAAUGUACAACAAAUGAACAGGAAAUCUAUUUUAAAUGAAAAUGUUAAAUAUUUGGCCACAACACUGACUUGUAACGCUGUUCCUGGAGUCCUGAUCCACACGUUUAGUUUUCUCUCUGCUAACACCUCAGGGAAGCAUCAGUCUUUGCCAUAAAUUUGUGCUCCUGUGAUGACACUUAUUUGCUACUCUUGAGAAGAUGUGAUGAUACUCCAACCACCAAGUUGUAUUAUCUGAGGCACUACUUACUCCCAACCUGUGAGCUUAAAAGUUUAUAUCAUUUUAAUCACUUUAUUUUUACCCACAGGUGUCCUCAGGUCCGAGUCCUAUCGCUAACAGGUAAUGGAUGUAAAUUCUUGAUCAUGUGUUACCAUAAGAAACUGUUAAUGAUGACUUUUGUUUUUAAAACGAUGGGAAUCUCUCUGAAAAAGAGUGAAAGAGGACUUUUUUCUGAUGCAGUUAAAACUAUAUUACAUACAUGCAUGUUAAAAUUUGGACUCUUCAACGAUGCGUCUCUCGUGCUUUGCAGACGGUCCUGAUGUUGGAUCCAGAUGUGCAUUCUUGGAUCGGCUGCAGGAGUCCCACAAAAGGCAAAGUGGAGAUGUGAACACCUUGCUGUCUGACUCGUUGCUGCUCUGCUGAACGAGCGGGCUCGCGACUCAUCACCAUUCAGAAGAUGAUUAAACACUCAUGGUGAGUAUGAAAUCGUGUCAUUUUUAGCUCCUCAGACCCAGAAUGGGCCCCGUGCUGUUGAGGUUUAUAGAGCUGGGUCUGAAGGAGCCACUUGCAUAUUUUCUGGGAUCACUUUCUUGCAGUAAAGAUCAUUUGAUCCUUGUAGUCUGGCCUGUGUGAUGACAAAGUACAGACUGACUUUAAACCAUGGAGUCUGUUUAUUAGCUCUAGCUGACCAGGUCAGCGUUGACUCCUUCAUCUUUGCAGUUGAUGUGCAUGUUUGACUGAUGCUCUCAUAUCUUCAGGUUGUUCUGUGUGAGGGAUGGAGACCCAGUGUGGACCACACCAGAGUGACUGAGGUGAGAAAACUGACUUAAAAGUGCACGAUGGUCAUAAGGGGUUCAGUGAUGUUACAACAAAUGUCUGACCUGAACACUCAUGUGGACAGUCUGUCACUGAGCAACCCAGUGAAUAAAAUAUGAAUCAGCCAGUCGCUGACUUGUAAUAAGGUUUUUCAUUCUUCUUUUUCAGAUGGGGGGGAAAAGUUCAAGUUCUUUACCUGGUGAGUGUUUUUGUCCAGUCCUGAAUCACAAUUAUUUAAGGUGGCCACAAGACUAGUGAUGAUCUGAUUUUGCCAGAUGACUUAAGCUGAUUAUAACCCUUACCGUUCCAUUUUUUUCUGAGGUCAUGUGGUCAUUAACUGCUAGUUAACUCUUCUGUUAGUAGUCUGUACUUGUAUUUUAAUGAUUUCUUCUCUACACAGGUGUGAAGCCUCAGACACUGAAGCACAAUCAAGCACAAGUCUGUCACUUCAUAAUAAAUCUAAAUGGUGCUGUUUCCUCAAAAGCUGGAAAGUGAUGUUGACAGAUUUUCACCUGCAGGAAUCGGUGUUCAGACCCUGCUCGUGCUAUUACGUCUGGAUUGUGACCUGAUCCUGUUGACUUCAAUUUGUAACAAUAAAAUAUUUGUUAUUGACUCA
ensembl:lncRNA